UACGUAGGGUCCGAGCGUUGUCCGGAAUUACUGGGCGUAAAGAGCUCGUAGGUGGUUUGUCGCGUUGUUCGUGAAAACUCACAGCUCAACUGUGGGCGUGCGGGCGAUACGGGCAGACUAGAGUACUGCAGGGGAGACUGGAAUUCCUGGUGUAGCGGUGGAAUGCGCAGAUAUCAGGAGGAACACCGGUGGCGAAGGCGGGUCCCUGGGCAGUAACUGACGCUGAGGAGCGAAAGCGUGGGGAGCGAACAGG
rnacentral:rRNA from 1 species